GGGGCUUUGGUCUAGGGGUAUGAUUCCUUCUUAGGGUGGAGGAGGUCCCGGGUUCAAGUCCCGGAAGCCCCC